rnacentral:rRNA from 1 species
GUAAUCCGCGCAGCAACACAUGCGAUCAACGUACGGACCAGCUGCUGCUUCGCUGACAUGGCGGACGGGUGAGUAUGUCUGGGAACUGCCUGAUGGAGGGGGAUACUACUGGGAAAACGUGGCUAAUACCGCAUAACGUCGCAAGACCAAAGAAGGGGGACCGUUCGGGCCCUCUUGCCAUCAGAUGUGCCCAGAUGGGAUUAGCUUGUUGGUGAGGUAACGGCUCACCAAGGCGACGAUCCCUAGCUGGUCUGAGAGGAUGACCAGCCACACUGGAACUGAGACACGGUCCAGACUCCUACGGGAGGCAGCAGUGGGGAAUAUUGCACAAUGGGCGCAAGCCUGAUGCAGCCAUGCCGCGUGUAUGAAGAAGGCCUUCGGGUUGUAAAGUACUUUCAGCGGGGAGGAAGGUGUUGUGGUUAAUAACCGCAGCAAUUGACGUUACCCGCAGAAGAAGCACCGGCUAACUCCGUGCCAGCAGCCGCGGUAAUACGGAGGGUGCAAGCGUUAAUCGGAAUUACUGGGCGUAAAGCGCACGCAGGCGGUCUGUCAGUCGGAUGUGAAAUCCCCGGCUCACCGGGGACUGCAUCGAACUGCAGCUGAUUUGUAAGGGGUAAUNAGUUACGUAUCUAAUGAGAUCGGCAGGCCGCAGCGCACGCCAAGU